GACGAACGCUGGCGGCGUGCUUAACACAUGCCAGUCGAACGGAAAGGCCUGCUUUCCCUUGUGGAUUGCGGGUACUCGAGUGGCGAACGGGUGAGUAACACGUGAGUUAUCUGCCCCCAACUUGGGUAUAAGCCUGGGAAACUGCGUCUAAUUCCCGAUAGGACUGCAGGGUGGUGCCGGUGGUGUAAGACGAUUUUCUAGUGGUUGGGGUUGAGCUGGUGGCCUAUCAGCUUGUUGGUGGGGUACUGUCCUACGAAGGCGGGGACGGGUAGCCGGCCUGGGAGGGUGGGCGGGCACAUGGGGACUGAGAUAUGGCGCAGGCUACUACGGCAGGCAGCAGUGGGGAAUAAUGCACAAGGGGCGGAAGCCUGAGGCAGCGACGCCGCGGGGGGGAUGACGGCCUUCGGGUUGUAGACUCCGUGCGACCGCGAGGAAGCCACCUGGUUGGAAGGGGGGUGACGGUAGUGGGAGAAGAAGCACCGGCUAACUACGUG
rnacentral:rRNA from 1 species